CACAGACCGCCAUUCUUACAGGGAGGACUGCAGACAGCUGGAAGAGGAAAAAUAAAUCAAGUCAAAUCAAAUUUCAAAUUCAGCCUUUAAACCAUGAGGACACUCGCAAAUAUUCGCCCGAACACACGAACCUCCGUUCAGACACACGGGAGAACAGACGGCUGGAGAGACAAACGAGAGCAUCGGCGUUGAGAGGACACUCGCACCUGUACCCGCUGGCUGUGUUAAUGCACUUGCCGACUGUGCACGGAGCUGACAAACAUUCGUCUACAUCCUCGUCGCAGAGGUGGCCCUGCUUACCCUCGGGACAUACACACAGGUGCUCUGGGCGUUGCACUCGUCUGACAGCGUGAAGCGGAAGGAGCGCCUCGAUUGACGUCCCUCCUCCUCCUCAGGAAACGAUGG